AACCUCCUCAAUGCACUUACGUGCGAAGGGGCUACCUCGAGUGCCAUCUGAUGAAGGUGGCUUUUCCUAGGUCUAAAAAGCCUUGGGAAUAAGAGGGGGGCAAGACUGGUGUCAGCCGCCGCGGUAACACCAGCCCCUCGAGUGGUGGGGAUGAUUAUUGGGCCUAAAGCGUCCGUAGCCUGCCGUGUAAGUUUCCCGUUAAAUCCAGCGUCUUAAGCGUUGGACCGCGGGAAAUACUGUACGGCUAGAGAGUGGGAGAGGUCAGCGGUAUUCUGGGGGUAGGGGCGAAAUCCUUUGAUCCCCGGAGGACCACCAGUGGCGAAGGCUGCUGUCUAGAACACGUCUGACGGUCAGGGACGAAAGCUGGGGUAGCGAACCGGAUUAGAUACCCGGGUAGUCCCAGCCGUAAACGAUGCAUGCUAGGUGUUGGGUUGGCCACGAGCCACCCCAGUGCCGCAGGGAAGCCGUUAAGCAUGCCGCCUGGAAGUACGAUCGCAAGGU
rnacentral:rRNA from 1 species